rnacentral:rRNA from 1 species
CUGGCGGCGUGCCUAAUACAUGCAAGUCGAACGGCUUUUCUAUGGAAGCUUGCUUCCACUGAGAAGAUAGUGGCGAACGGGUGAGUAACACGUGGGUAACCUGCCCAUAAGAGGGGGAUAACAUCCGGAAACGGGUGCUAAUACCGCAUAGUUUUCUUGAUCGCAUGAUUGAGAAAGGAAAGACGGCCUUUGUGCUGUCGCUUAUGGAUGGACCCGCGGCGUAUUAGUUAGUUGGUGAGGUAACGGCUCACCAAGACGAUGAUACGUAGCCGACCUGAGAGGGUGAUCGGCCACAUUGGGACUGAGACACGGCCCAAACUCCUACGGGAGGCAGCAGUAGGGAAUCUUCCGCAAUGGACGAAAGUCUGACGGAGCAACGCCGCGUGAGUGAAGAAGGUUUUUCCGGAUCGUAAAACUCUGUUGUCAGAGAAGAACAAGUUGGAGAGUAACUGCUCCAGCCUUGACGGUAUCUGACCAGAAAGCCACGGCUAACUACGUGCCAGCAGCCGC